GACGAACGCUGGCGGCGUGCUUAACACAUGCAAGUCGAACGGAAAGGCACUACUUUUGUGGGGUGCUCGAGUGGCGAACGGGUGAGUAACACGUGUGUAACCUGACCUUGUCUUUGGGGUAACUUAAGGUAACUGGGGCUACUCUCGGAUAGGAGCCCCCGCUGCGUGGGGGGGGUUGGAAAGUUUAGGCGGUCGUGGUUGGAUUGGCGGCUUUUGAGUUAGUUGGUGGGGUAGUGGCUUACCCAGGGUUUGACGGGUAGGCCGCAUGGGAGGGUGACCAGCCACAUUGGGACUACGAGAGGGACCAGUCGCCUACGGGAGACAGCAGUGGGGAAUAUGGCACAAUGGGCGGAAGCGGGAUGCAGCGACGCCGCGGGCGUGAUGACGGCCUUCGGGUAAAAAACCGCAUUCGCCUGAUACGAAGCGGGAGUGACGGUAAUGAAUGAAGAAGCACCGGCUAACUACGUG
rnacentral:rRNA from 1 species